GUACAUUUACCAUCCAGGAUGUCCGGAGCAAAGAAAAAUACACGGAGCAGAAGAAAACAGGAAUAGAAACACAGCCUGUUAAGUGUGGGUGCUUGACAGAGCUUCCUAACGCUUAGCAUAAUACGUGCACUAUUACAGCAUUUCUAUAAAUCACGUGGCAAGACCUUCCAAGGUUGUGCAUUAUUUAGGCAUCUCGUCAUUCACUUCCUUGAUGAAUCUUAAGCUGAUGGAAAUGAUUAAUAUCUGAAAAAGAACAAAGCCAAAUUGGAAGAUAUUUGCCCUCAAAUGCAAGACUUUUCUCACUGUAGGAAAACACUUGUUGCCUAACUCCUCUGAGCUGCUGUAGGUACCUAAGCCUAUUCCAGAUUUGAUAAGAGGGCAAGUAAUACCCUCACAAAAACUGUGCUGCUUCUUCAGCAAGUUCACAAUGCCCUCCAUGAACAUAUAAAGGACAGACUACAGAAAUUUCAGCACAGACCUACAAGCUUAUAGUGGCGCUGUUUGCUUUGCAAAGUUAAUUAACUCCCUGCAAUGCAACUCAGUAAAAGCCACGCUCUUGGAGGAUAAAUCCUGGAGAAAACUGAAGGGGACUCUGUUGCCUGUCCAGUUCAGUAGACAUCAGGGAUCCACAUCUUCACAGCUAUGGGGAAGAAGUAUUCACCCACACUAACUUUUAAAGCUUUCUUUCAGCACAGCCACCAUUUCCAUGUUGCAAACUGACCUAGUGGUUCAUGGAGGAAGUUGUGACAUAACCAAGUUAGAACAACAGGGUGAGACCAAAGCUUUCUCUGUACCCUCAGCGUACAAUGUCUGAAGCCAUUUGCUGGGCGAUGGAGGGGAGAAUAGAAGGAACAGAUAGGAGGUAGGAAUGUCUAGUAGUGGGAACCAAGAGCUGGCAGCAGAAAAGCAAACCAUACAUCUCAGAGUCAUCAUACAUCUCCCAUUUGCUAAAGGGGAACAAGAAAUUUAUCUGGAGGGAUCAAGAAAGAUUUGAGAAACCAAGCUUCUUCAUCAAGAGAGAAGCUACACAAGCAUAUAUAAAUAUAUAUAUUUAUCAUUUAUAUAUCUUUAUAUAAAUAUAUGUUUAUAUAUAAAUAUAUAUAUGAAUACAAGUAUGAGUAGCAUUAUAAAAGGUCACAUGCCGAGCAGCCACAUAAAUACCAAAUACUAUUCUCAAUAUCCUUGAACUUCAAACAGUGCAAUUCACCCAGCACCAGCUGGUAAGCACUUUUGUUUGUUUUCCUGUGUGUGUUCCUUUCCAAGAGAUGAGAUGCUCAAUUCUGCUGAAGGCCAGCAGUGAAACUGUAAUUACAGCGGUGUUCAAAUGAAGCAAACUGGGAAUCUUUCCAGACUCUCAUCCUUAAAACACGCAAGUAACCUAGAAAGUUAGAUAGGGACUCAUGAGAACAAGAGGGUAUAUAUUGGGAAAAGGAGGCAUGUAUUUGUUUUCUGAGUAAGUUCUUCUCCCCUUACCAGUAAACAACUUAAAAUUUAAUUUAGCAAAGUAGAUCGUGUUCCAUCUUGGGGUUCCAGGCAAACCUAUGACAGCUGAUGAGUCCAGAGGGCUAUCUGCACGUCUUACUAGUCCAGAAGCCACAAACACUCUUCUAGUACUUCAGGACCAUUCUAGUUCUGUUUCACAAGAGACUACAGACUAUAGAAUACGGCACCUCAGAAAACUAACAGAUUAAAGUGGCGUUGAAGAUGGUAUCUUCAGCAGACGGGAACUCUGCCUCCUCCUCCCCGCCCCUUGCCUCUCCCCAUGCUCACCCAACAUGGGAAUGUCCCUGCCAGGGCUUCUGAGGGCCACUUCCAGCAGGUGGAUGUGACGUGGAUAACCCGGGGAGCAGCAAUAUUUUCCAGCAGCUGUACACAAAGAACCCACUGAUGACACCUUAAGUUCCAUAGUAUCAUUACGGUUUCUCUGAAUCACACCCCCACUGCAAUUAUCGCUCUUGCCCUAGCUCUUACACGAUAGGAGAGCAGCAGCUAGGUCAGACGUGGAAUCUGACAGAGCAAGUCGCUUCCCACCUGAGUGAAAUUCAUUCCUAAAGUCUAGAUAUUGUUUGAAUUUGUCUGAAGGGAAGCGUUUGUGUGAGAAGUGCAAGUAUAAAAUACUUCCCCAUUUCAGUUCACAGUGUGUGGCAAAACAGAACACACCAACGUGGAACACUUCAUUUGCCCCUGUGAAUAUUUUGCACAGUAUUUUACAUAGAUUUCUUUUAAGAGUGGAAUGCUUAGAACAUCUGAUGCAGCGUAAGCAUUCUUAACGACAACAGACUGAUCUGUGGCCUACCCAAAUAGCCACUUCUUCCUUCUCCCUUCAAUCCCCCCUCUUUUUACUCGUAAGAAAGGGAAAAUUUAGAUGUCAAAUUGAGUAGUGCAGUUUUUACAGACAAAUUAAACGUAGGAGUGCAGUUGUUUUCCCAUUAGUAAGAAGGAACGGGAGUUGCAGUUUUGCAUUUCAAUAUUAAUAGGUACUUCCUGGAACCUCAACAACUCGGAAACGCCACGAACAGGGAAUCAAGCAAUUUAAAAGUGAAGCUGAACGCAUGGAUUCUCACAAACAACAGGAAGGAAAAACACUGCUUCUUUUCCAACCCGUUACUUCUCUCAGCCGACGCAGCGGCAUCACGCGUGGAGAACAUUGUGUAUAGCACAGGUAGAUCAACAGACGGCAUCUCCGGGAAUCUGCCAAACGUCAUCACACAAACCCCAAAUUAUCUCUAAGACAACUAAUUGUAACUGGGAACGUUAUUUUUAUCCCUCCAGAAAUACUACAAACAUCCUGUGCAGACUACAACGUUUGCUUCCUCCAUAGCCGCGAGUGAGACGGGACUUCAAGGAUAAACCUUACGAGGUGGGAAAACAGUCUCAGGAACAGGUUCGGAGCUUUGGUUGUGGGAUUGCUUCACUCUAGCACACAGCCAUACAGGAGCCUGAAGACUUCAGUAACACUACGGCCGAACUGACUGAAGGAAAACGAACUCUCAAAGCAGAGCGUUUCAUCCUCAGCAGGAGAUGGAUCGCGGACAGCCAUGGGCUCACGCCUCCUCCCACCGCUCCUAUAGGAACAGGGUAACCCGUCUGGGUUUUGCUGCCACUGUGUGGCCGUCGAGAGAAAGGAUGUUCGGGACACUGUCGUAUAGUUACUCUAUUUUUAUUGUAAAGCCUGGAAGAACUUACAGCAUCCUUAUACUACAGCGUUGCACCCUGGAUGCAUACACAUCCCUGUAGCUAUAUAGGUACAAAUUGCCUCUAAGAUGGAACUAGAGGCUUGAUCUUAGAGAACUCCUGUCCCAAGAGAUGUUGGCAGUUUGUCCUUCUCCCUGAAAGGUAAAGCUUACAGUUAUCAUCAGGCAGCUCCAGCUAAACAUUGCUUU
ensembl:lncRNA